UGAAUGGGUAUGAAAGACUUAUACUAGAUGAUGGUAUGAGUUGUUUGGCAUUCUGGCCAGAUCCAGAUCAAGGACUUUGAUUCGUGCUGGAAGAAACAAGAAGCCUCAAGAGAGUGCGUGUGAACACUGGAUGGAGAAUGUGAAAGGGCCAAGCACUAAGCAUUCAUUUUGAAACAGCUUUAACUCAUAUUCUGCUUCAAUGUAAAGCAACUUCAUUUUCCUUCUUUCUUUAUCCUACUAUAUCAAUUAACAAUAGUGUUGGGUUUAGUACAUUGAUCUUGGGGAUCUUUAACGACAUAUGUCAAGUAACUACAGUUGUCAGUUUUGGGUUUCAAUGUAAAGCAACUCAUUUUCCUUCUUUCUUUAUUCUACUAUAUCGAGAACUAUUAGUGUAACACCUAUGUUUUCAACGUCAAAGUGCUCCGAUAUAAUAUAUUUUAGGAGCUGUGUGUAAACAACAUUUCGACUUGUUCUUCUUUCUCGCAAACAUCGGAAGAAUCCACCGGGAAAGUAUCAUCUGCCUUGCGCUUCCUCGAUUCAUUCUCCUCAGAUAUCUCCAUCAUCGAAUUAUCAUCAUCCGCGUUUUUCAAUUUGGAAUCCAU